rnacentral:snoRNA from 1 species
UUCCUUUUUCUUGGCAGGGAUUGGGAGGUGCAGUCCCCAGGGCCCUGUAAAUAAAUGGAGUAGAGGGAAAGAGCUCUGGUCCUCUCUGUGUUUUGUCUUAGGUACCAGUGGCUUCCAGUCUACCAGUUCUAUCCUCACGUGCAGGGAGCAGG